UACAGAUGGACCAUAAGCUCUGAGCACUGUGGCCAGUUUGUUCACGUAAGAAGAUGGCGGCCAUUUGUUUAUAUAGUGUACAGAAAUGUAGUUUACUACGUACUAUUGUAAACAAUCACUUUUCUCGAGUCAGCAGUCUUUAUUUGUUUAAUAUUCAUGCACUUUUCCACCACCAUACAUACAUAACUUAUGAGAAAAUGCGAUUUUCUUCAUGGAACAAUAUAGCGGCGACCUGCUUCCCCUUACGUCCCCUGGCUUCAGCAGUGUGCCGGAAAUUAGGCAUUUAGACACAUUUUUUUAAAUUUUUACUAUAAUUUUAAAUUAAUUUGGAACAUUUUAUUUUUUUUUAAUUUAUCUGGUUACAUAAGGGUGUAGUUUUUUUUAAGUCGACUGAACCGCGACUCGCCCCUGGUCGAUCUUAGUGCGUGCAAACUCCGACAGAGGGAAGUCUUUUACGAUAGUUCACUUCGGGCCGGACGACGAGAGUUGCCGAAGGUUUCCGACGCCCCCCCACCCUCUAGGACGAAGACCUUGUUUGAAUUAGUGACGCGGCGCGGAUGUGAGGGGACUCUUGCUCCGCACUCUGGAACGACCGCGUCGGUAGUCCGCUGAUCGCGUGUCGGGCUCCGUCAAGUUAAAUCAUAACUGACGCCGAGCAGCAGUACUAACAUGUAGUCUGAUCAGAAAAGGGAUGUUUCCCUGUUUACCUUUUGGUUUUUUAUUUUAGUCAUCUCAGCAUAGCCUCUACGUAGUAAUCCAAGUUUCUCCGCGAACCAAAUUUCUUAUCUGGUGCCACAUUUUUUUUUUUUUUUUUAACCGCGACGUCGGCCGCGAAUCGCCCUCCAUCUUCCUACCAGGCAACAUGGCUCGCCUAACAACUACUACCCUGUUUUGACAGGGUCCUAGCCCCCCUCCCCCCCAAAGAGAAGGAAACCAUCAUGGGGAACUAAGGAAGCCCGGCGACCUCCAAUUUUGAAUUGGUGGUUUCGCUAGUGGAAGCCCUCACUCCCGGCCUUUUCACCAUCAGCUACGAACCGCCAGAAAAUAUUCAGUUCGUGAGAGCGAGUGCCAGUGAAAUUUUUUUUUUUAAUUUCCAAAUGUAAUUUCAGAUAUCAGAUUCUAACCAGUUUAACAGUUUUGGUCUCUUCAUCCAUCUCGAAAUUGUAUAUGUGAAAUGGUUAUAAUUAACAAAUGAUAAGCUAAUAUGGUGAUUACAGAUUAUUGUAAAAUGUUAAAACUUUAAGGUUUAUUUAAGAAUGAUGUGUUGGAAAAAUAAUUUUCUAUUCGCGGCCCGGGUCGGCAAAUGAUUAGGUAAAAUAAGCUCUCUUUAAAAAUGGUUCAAUGAUAGAAGUAUUUUCUCUUUAUAGCUUGUAACAGAAAAUCUUGAAAACAAACUUUGAUCUUAAAUAAAAGGAUGCCUAUAAACAUAA